rnacentral:tRNA from 2 species
GCGGGAUUAGCUCAGCUGGAUAGAGCGUUGGCCUCCGGAGCCAAAGGCCAGAGGUUCGAAUCCUCUAUCCCGCG